GACGAACGCUGGCGGCGUGCUUAACACAUGCAAGUCGAACGGAAAGGCCUGCUUUCCCUUGUGGAUUGCGGGUACUCGAGUGGCGAACGGGUGAGUAACACGUGAGUGAUCUGCCCCCAACUUGGGUAUAAGCCUGGGAAACUGGGUCUAAUUCCCGGUAGGACUGCAGGGUGGUGCCUGUGGUGAAAACGAUUUUCUAGUGGUUGGGGAUGAGCUCGCGGCCUAUCAGCUUGUUGGUGGGGUAAUGGCCUACCAAGGCGGCGACGGGUAGCCGGCCUGAGAGGGUGGACGGACACAUUGGGACUGAGCUACGGCCCAGACUCCUACGGGAGGCAGCAGUGGGGAAUAUUGGACAAUGGGCGGAAGCCUGAUGCAGCGACGCCGCGUGGGGGAUGACGGCCUUCGGGUGGUAAACUCCUUUCGACCGCGAGGAAGCCACCUGGUUGGAAGGGUGGUGACGGUAGUGGUAGAAGAAGCACCGGCUAACUACGUG
rnacentral:rRNA from 1 species